UGCCCCAGUAACGGCGAGUGAAGCGGCAACAGCUCAAAUUUGAAAUCUGGCCCCUCCGGGUCCGAGUUGUAAUUUGUAGAGGAUGCUUUUGGUGAGGUGCCGCCCGAGUUCCCUGGAACGGGACGCCACAGAGGGUGAGAGCCCCGUCUGGCUGGCCACCGAGCCUCUGUAAAGCUCCUUCGACGAGUCGAGUAGUUUGGGAAUGCUGCUCAAAAUGGGAGGUAUAUGUCUUCUAAAGCUAAAUAUUGGCCAGAGACCGAUAGCGCACAAGUAGAGUGAUCGAAAGAUGAAAAGCACCUUGAAAAGAGGGUUAAACAGUACGUGAAAUUGUUGAAAGGGAAGCGCUUGUGACCAGACUUGGGCGCGGCGGAUCAUCCGGGGUUCUCUCCGGUGCACUUCGCCGCGUUCAGGCCAGCAUCAGUUCGUCGCGGGGGAAAAAGGCUUCGGGAACGUGGCUCCUCCGGGAGUGUUAUAGCCCGUUGCAUAAUACCCUGCGGUGGACUGAGGACCGCGCAUCUGCAAGGAUGCUGGCGUAAUGGUCACCAGCGAC
rnacentral:rRNA from 1 species